rnacentral:rRNA from 1 species
GAACUGGACGACUCGAGUGCGGUAGAGGCAGAUGGAAUUCCCGGUGUAGCGGUGGAAUGUGCAGAUAUCGGGAAGAACACCAACGGCGAAGGCAGUCUGCUGGGCCGUCACUGACGCUGAGGCGCGAAAGCAGGGGGAGCGAACAAGAUUAGAUACCCUGGUAGUCCCAGCCGUAAACGAUGAGCGCUGGGUGUGGGAGAUU